UUUUAUGAGAGUUUGAUCCUGGCUCAGGACGAACGCUGGCGGCGUGCCUAAUACAUGCAAGUCGAACGCUUCUUUUUCCAACGGAGCUUGCUCCACCGGAAAAAGAAGAGUGGCGAACGGGUGAGUAACACGUGGGUAACCUGCCCAUCAGAAGGGGAUAACACUUGGAAACAGGUGCUAAUACCGUAUAACAAUCAAAACCGCAUGGUUUUGAUUUGAAAGGCGCUUUCGGGUGUCGCUGAUGGAUGGACCCGCGGUGCAUUAGCUAGUUGGUGAGGUAACGGCUCACCAAGGCCACGAUGCAUAGCCGACCUGAGAGGGUGAUCGGCCACAUUGGGACUGAGACACGGCCCAAACUCCUACGGGAGGCAGCAGUAGGGAAUCUUCGGCAAUGGACGAAAGUCUGACYGAGCAACGCCGCGUGAGGGACGAAGGUUUUCGGAUCGUAAAACUCUGUUGUUAGAGAAGAACAAGGAUGAGAGUAACUGUUCAUCCCUUGACGGUAUCUAACCAGAAAGCAACGGCUAAC
rnacentral:rRNA from 1 species